CAGCAGCCGCGGGAAUACGUAGGUCCCGAGCGUUGUCCGGAUUUAUUGGGCGUAAAGCGAGCGCAGGCGGUUAGAUAAGUCUGAAGUUAAAGGCUGUGGCUUAACCAUAGUACGCUUUGGAAACUGUUUAACUUGAGUGCAGAAGGGGAGAGUGGAAUUCCAUGUGUAGCGGUGAAAUGCGUAGAUAUAUGGAGGAACACCGGUGGCGAAAGCGGCUCUCUGGUCUGUAACUGACGCUGAGGCUCGAAAGCGUGGGGAGCGAACAGGAUUAGAUACCCGCGUAGUCCCUGUCUCUUAUACA
rnacentral:rRNA from 1 species